UCCAGGAUUGGCCUUUGUUGUGUAUCCAGAAGCUUUAUUCCAACUUCCAAUGCCACAAGUCUGGUCAUUUCUAUUCUUCCUGGUGUUGCUUACAGCCGGACUUGAUUCACAGUUUAUGAAUAUUGAGGUCCUUACAACAGCCAUGGUAGACAAAUAUCCAGCCGCUUUAACCAAAAGACGCCAUCUUGUGACAGCCGGUGUGUGCGGGAUAAGCUUCUUGCUUGGGAUUGUAUUAUGCACAGAGGGAGGACCCUACAUAUACCAACUGCUGGACUGGUAUUUGGGCGCCUUAUCCAUACUGCUAUUUUGUACACUGGAAUGCUUGGC